GACGAACGCUGGCGGCGUGCUUAAUACAUGCAAGUCGAACGGAAAGGCCCUGCCUUUGUGGGGGGCUCGAGUGGCGACCGGGUGAGUAACACGUGAGUAACCUCCCCUUGACUUUGGGAUAACUCCAGGAAACUGGGGCUAUUACCGGAUAUGAGCCCCUGCUGCAUGGUGGGGGUUGGUAAGUUUCGGCGGUUGGGGAUGGACUCGCAGCCUAUGAGCUUGUUGGUGGGGUAGUGGCCUACCAAGGCCUGGACGGGUAGCCGGCCUGGGGAGGUGGCAAGGCAGACUGGGCCUAGGAUACGGCCCAGGGUAGUACGGAGGACAACAGCGGGAUGUGAGACACAAUGGGGCGGCGCCGGAGGCAGCGGCGCGGCGUGCGGGAGGACGGCCUUCGGGGUGGAAACAGAAUUCACCCGUGACGUAGGGGGCAUGACGGUAACUGAUAAGGAAGCCCCGGCUAACUACGUG
rnacentral:rRNA from 1 species